CUCAUUUCCCCCAAUUCUCCCUCGCCCUCUUCGUGUUCUCGCCUUUCUCCUCCCACCAUGAAAAUACCCACCCCUCGAGAGGAUCCUUAUCCCCAAGGAUCAAAAGAUGGAAACUGACCACGGAGCACCGAAUAAUCUUCCCAGGUGUCAUGCGAAUCGUUCAGGAGGCUCUGUCGAAGAUGAUACUGCUGGCCCAAUAUGCCUCUUCAACAUACUGACAUGAAAGACUGGGUGCAACCGAGAGUUCUCUGGGCAAGGGAUGUUUGACGAUAGGGUUGCAACUUCAGGUAA